rnacentral:rRNA from 1 species
GACGAACGCUGGCGGCGUGCUUAACACAUGCAAGUCGAACGGAAAGGCCUGGUUUUUGUGGGGGGCUCGGGUGGCGAACGGGGGAGUAAGACGAGUGUAACCUGCCUUUGCCUUUGGGAUCACUUCUGGAAACUGGGGCUACUACCGGAUAGGAGCUCCUGCACCGUGGGGGGGGGUGGAAAGUGGCGGCGGUUGGGGAUGGAGUCGCGGCUGAGCAGGUUGUUUGUGGGGUAGUGGGUUACGAAGGCGUUGACGGGUGGCCGGCCUGCGAGGGUGGCCGGCCACACUGGGCCGGCGACACCGCCCAGACGCCUACGGGAGGCAGCAGUGGGGAGUGGUGCCCUGUGGGCGGAAGCCUGAUGCAGCGACGCCGCGUGCGGGAUGACGGCCUUCGGGUGGUAGACCGCUUUCGCCUGUGUCGAAGGGUGAGUGACGGUAAUGGGUGAAGAAGCACCGGCUAACUACGUG